rnacentral:rRNA from 1 species
UACGGAGGGUGCAAACGUUGCUCGGAAUCAUUGGGCGUAAAGCGCACGUAGGCGGCCGUUUAAGUCGGGUGUGAAAGCCCCGGGCUCAACCCGGGAAGUGCACUCGAAACUGACCGGCUUGAAUAUGGAAGAGGGUCGCGGAAUUCCCGGUGUAGAGGUGAAAUUCGUAGAUAUCGGGAGGAACACCAGUGGCGAAGGCGGCGACCUGGGCCAAUAUUGACGCUGAGGUGCGAAAGCGUGGGGAGCAAACAGG